GGGGGUAUAUUCAUAUAUUCGUGUUCUGCCCGACGGAUUUCUUGAAAGCGGUAUAUGAACAUUUUACGGUAUGUGAACAUGAAUAUGUGGAUAUACACCCUCCCCCCAAUUACCGCGUCUGGCUACGGCCCUGCAUGUAAAUCAGAACUUAUUUGAUUUUUGUUUUAAUGUACAUAGCUCUAUAUAUCCAUAAUUUUUAACUUUAGUCUUACUA